GGGUUAGGAGGAGAGAGAGUAGGGUUAGGAGGAGAGAGAGUAGGGUUAGGAGGAGAGAGAGUAGGGUUAGGAGGAUCAGAGAGUAGGGUUAGGAGGAUCAGAGAAGAGGGUUAGGAGGAUCAGAGAGUAGGGUUAGGAGGAGAGAGAGUAGGGUUAGGAGGAGAGAGAGUAGGGUUAGGAGGAGAGAGAGUAGGGUUAGGAGGAGAGAGAGUAGGUUUAGGAGGAGAGAGAGUAGGUUUAGGAGGAGAGAGAGUAGGGUUAGGAGGAGAGAGAGUAGGGUUAGGGGGAGAGAGAGUAGGG